rnacentral:lncRNA from 1 species
CUUUCAUCACUUUGUGCUAAGCUUCCGCUAUCACUACUCUGGGCCGUUCCUGUUUGGUGACUCAGGGACCAGUCUGGCAUGGCCACCGCUGGGUCCCCAGCAUUAAGCCCUGGAGCAUGAGCCCAGUGAACUUUGAAAUUCAGGAAGGAAUUCACAGGAAAGCUGCGGCGAGGCGGGCAGAAAACCACAGGCUUCCAAGAAACGCGUGUCUGCCGCCCCCUCCUCCCACCCUGAGGCCAGUCCUAGAGCGAAGGCCCUCCUCCGACGUCGUCACCAAGCCCAAGGGAAGGGUGGCAGGUGCUCAGCGGGCAGACGCCCCGCCCCGCCCCGCCAGGUUCUGUUGGGGGCGAGGCCCGCGCAAGCCCCGCCUCUUCCCCGGCACCAGGGGC